CAUGUACACCCAUGGCUGAUUCAUGUCAAUGUAUGGCAAAAACUACUACAAUAUUGUAAUUAGCCUCCAAUUAAAAUAAAUAAACUAAUUUUAAAUAAAUAAAUGAAAAGAUCCAGCUAAAUCUAUAAAGCUCCUCAAGCAACAAUCAUUGAUCUCAAAUAGAAGAUGAUCAAACCUAUUAACCUAAUCCAAUGGGUCCAUGACUGAAAUGACAUUCCCAUACUACUAUGGCUCUUUACUACAUGAAAAGUAUAAGCUACAGUUAUUUUGCUUCAAAUAGUUAUUAAAUCCUGUCUAACUUCUAAUGUCAGAAAAUGAAGUUUAGAGAACAGAGCCCAUGUGAACACUGGGUUUGCGUGUCCAUGAUUUGGUGGUUGUUGGUUAGUUGAUAAGUUGUGUCCAACUCUGUGCGACCCCAUGGAUGUACCCUGCUAGGCUCCUCUGUCCAUGGGAUUCUCCAGGCAAGGAUACGGGAGUGGGUUGCCAUGCCCUCCUUCAGAGGAUCUUCCUGACCCAGAGACCGAACCCAGGCCUCUUGCAUUGGCAGGAGGAUUCUUUACUACUGAGACACCAGGGAAGGCCCAUGUCCAUGACUAUUUUGAACAAAUGCAAUAUGUACUAAAUCACAGGCUCUCCCUAGAGACAGUUCUACUGUAGAUUUUUAUAACUACCUUUACAGGACUUCAUCUCUUGAAAACUGGCAACUAAUAAAUGUACUACAAAAUAGUUCCAGGUUUUCUUUCAUCAAGAAGAGAAAGAUCUAUGAAUGUUUUAGAGUAUUUUUAUUUCUGUGAUAAUAUUUUGCCUGUAAAUUGAAAGAAAAUUCUAAUUUUAUGAAAGGAUAAGAGAAUAAAUAAGUUGAUUUUGGAAAAAACAAUCUACUUUUUAAUCUACAUGGAAAGAUCUCUAAUUUUUAUUCCUAUGGUCAACCAUAUUUAAAAUUAAAGUUGAUCAUAGUUUGUCUGUCCUACCUAAAAAAUUAUUCUCUUAAAUUUUAUCAACUUUUUUAGUAUGAAAUUACUUUUAAAAUCUCACCUGCCUUUUAUAACUAAAAAGUAAUACAAUGACUAUACUUUGUAAGUUUAGUUGCUUAUGAAAAUAAAGUAGUCCCUCCCUCAUUGAGUGAAAACAUCAUUGAAGGUUUUUAAAAGGUACAAAAUUAUAUUUGCCUCUACGGUUUUAUCAACCUUAUUGUAUUAAGUUGCAUUUUUUGUUCCCUAAACAAUAAUUUCCCUUUGAGAUCUUAAGCUCAAGUGCCAUUUGUAAAUUCUUGAAUGAAAACUUAAAUAAAGAUCCAAAUGUUUUCCACUGAGGAACAUCUUUAAAGCUAAAUUUAGUGUACACUAACAGCCUAACCUCACUCAUCUUAGGGAACUGGUUUUUCUCAUUAAGAAUUUCUUUGAGUUUGAAAAUAUCCAAUGUUAAUAAUAUUGACCUUCUUCUUAGCUUUUUAGUGUUUUGUGUGUGUGUGUGGGAUCCUAGUUCCCUGACGAGGGAUCAAACAAACCCAUGCUUACCUGCACUGGAAGUAUAGAGUCCUAACAACUGGACUUCCAGGGGAUUCUCUGACCUUCUUUUUUUUAAAGUCAAUCUAUAACCUAAAUUAUUUCAAGCUUGUCUUCACAUUAUUUUUAAAACUACUGAAGUAAGUGCAUACUGAGUUCCCACUGAAACUACAGUUACUUUUCUUACCCCCUACUUUAUUCUUGGGGAAGACUUCUAGAAAAUAAGGGGGAAAGUUAACACAAAAACAAAUGAGUAGGGAGAAUGGAUACACGUUUAUGUAUGACUGAGUCCUUUCUCUGUUCACCUGAAACUAUCAUAACAUUGUUAAUUGGCUAAACCUCAACACAAAAUAAAAAGUUAAAAAAAAAAUUUUUUUAAUCCAAGUAAUUAGAAAAAAAAGUCACAGUUCAUAUGAGUAAAUAAAAAUUAAAAUGCAGUAAGCACAGCACUACACAUACUCUCCCUAAACAAUCUCUCAUAUUCUAAGUGGUAACUGAAGUUUACACUUUUUGCAAAGCAUAGUGUUUGCCAUCAUAAAAGACUUAAUGAAAGAUUGGCUUGUGAAAAUUAAAAACGACUCUGCAUGAAAGAGUUGGCCCUCAGUUUUGUGUGUUUAAAAAUUCAGUCUUGUUAGUUCAUUCUGGGUAAAUACACAAGAGAUUCCUUUCAAACAAGAUCAUUAAAAUCAUACCGUGAGCAUCAAUAUCCAAAGGAGAAAACAAUUUACAACAGAAAAUAGUGUUGCUUCGAUGGAGUAGGAUUGAAAGGAAACUGCACAAGAAGUGGACUUCAAAUUUUGCUUUUAUACUUUUAAAAUUAUUUUGUGAUGAUCAAAUAUUUUUAUAAUUUUAAAAAUGAUUAUUUAAAGGAAGGAAAUAAAUGCUAGAUAGAUUAGAAUACCUGUAUCAACUGGUUGGCAAUUCUCAAUAGGAUAAUCUACUUUAUUCUUUUUUUUUUUUUUUUUCUGAGACGGGGUCUCGCUGUUGCCCAGGCUGGAGAGCCGGGCUAUUCACAGGUGUGAUCCCACUACUGAUCAGCACCAGAGUUUUGACCUGCUCCCUUUCGGACCUGGGCAAGUUCACCCUGCCUAGGCAACCUGGAGGACCCCCACUCCCUGGAGGUCACCAUAUUGAUGCCCAACUUAGUGCGGACACCCGCUCGGCAUUGCUCACUACAGCCGAUAACUCCUAGGCUCAAGUGAUCCUCCCGCCUCAGCCUCCUGAGUAGCUGGGACUCCAGGCUUACACCAUUGCGCCGGGCAGGAAAAUCUACUUCUAAAAUUUGGUAACAAUGUUUCUUGACAAGUAUAAAAUCUGAUAGAAAGGAAAUGAGUAAUAUUAAUGAAUAGCAUCAUCUUAUGAUGGACUCCGUGAUACAAACCUGCCAAGAAAAGGGAAAUAAUCACAUCAGCUCAUCAGAGCCAUCACCCCAGAAAGGUAUGAUUACCAAGAGAUCAGACCACUUGGGAGUGAAGGUUUGAAUCAUACCACCAGACCAGUCAAAGAACCUGGAAGGGAAGAAGGGAAAAUUUUUCUUCCCCUAAAGACCCUGAUCCUGAGAAAGACUGAGGGCAGGAGAAGGGGAAGACAGGAUGAAAUGGUUGGAUGGCAUCACCCACUCAAUGGACGAGCUUGAGCAAACUCCGGGAGAUACUGAAGGACAGGGAAGCCUGGUGUGCUACAGUCCAUGGGGUCGCGAACAGGUGGACGCGACUGAACAACAGCAAGUUUUGGUGUCCACCGUGGGACCCUCACAGUCUGGUUGUAUUUGCUCAGGGCCUACUGAGAGAUCCUGGGACCUCUGAAAAAUGCCGGCAGAAGGUAAGAAUUCUUACCACAUCAGUCUCCUGGAUCUGUGCCUAAGGAUGUGUUGGAAGUGAGCAUGUGAGAGUCCUUUUCGUUUUCUUAAAUUAAGAUGAGCAGGAGAAAAUACUCAUGUGAACUGGUUACUUGGGUACAGCAACUCUGGUAGAGAUUUGUGAUGAGUACACCUGUUUUCUAUGGAUCCCUUUCCUCCCCAGAGAUGGUCACUGUUUUCUUUUCUCUCUUUUGUGUCGUUUGUCGUAAGGAAGAAAACCACAGAGUGGAACACGGGUGUAGGUCCUGUAAGUCUGUCACUCAAAGCGGCCUCACGGGCUGGUGAGUUCAGAGUUAUCAUCCGACCAGCAUCUACUUAGACAAACUUGGCUGUGGAUCACCUCUGUAAAAACCAGAGGAGAUUUUCCUUUCAUUUUGUUCUUUGUUCUGAGAGCUUGGCUUUGUGGCCAGUGAGGAUAUACUUUCUGGUCUCCAUCAGCUGGAAGGUGCAGCGCUGGCUUGGCUUUGGUGGCCAAACACACUGGGAUUCUGAGACACAAGGUUGCAAGCAGCGUUCUCGUUGUGCCAGCUCAAAGGGGAAUUUGUCAGAAGGGGUCCCAGACCCAAAGGGACUGUCAGCUUUAAAAAAAAAAAAAAGCACAAUGUCAGAGUUGUGAGUUAAGUUUUAUUUGGGGGUAAAUGAGGACUAUAGCUCUUAGAAACUGCUCCAAAGAGGUGGUGGGAGGUCACUGUACAUGUGAUAUUGGUGAAGAGGGAGUAUAUAAGUGCAAUCAAGCACAUUUUUUUUUUUUGCACAAGUUUCUGCUAGUCUUGUGGACGUCACUGCUAAUCAUAAGGACCACAUGUCACCACAAAGGAUUUUAGUGUUUCUCUAGAUAUGAGGAGAUGCAAGAACUGGGCUCAUAAAAUCAUCUCCUGAAAAUAUGUAUCUGAAGACUGGUUCUGGCGGUUUUUUCCAGAGCACAGAGUGCCUUAUUCCUGAUCUUCACCAUCAACUCCUUUCAGGGGGAUGUUGAAGACCAGCCGCUGCAGUGGGUUCAUGAUUUAAUCCUUGUAGAGGUAGAUGGCAAGUGCCAAUUUGUAGUUGACGGGACCCUGGUCAUUUCAGCCUUCAUUGUCUUGUUAUUUCUGGAAAAGCCCCAUUCCAGUAGUUCCUGUCCAGUGUCACAGAGUAGCAGCUUUGUGGUUGGAUGUCUCACAUUCUCAUGCGAGACCCAAGACCCUGUUUGGGCUCCAUCUAUCUUACUGCCUAUGACAAGGAAGGUUUUAGAUUUCUUGGGCUAAAUCUGGAAAUGAAUUUUCUGGAUCUUGCAAGGACUGAAUGUUUUGCACUCUCCUUUGGGACGGCUCUUGUGUUCAUGGUUGAGCCAUAAAAAGGCUUAUUGGUUUGAGUCAUUAUGGAGAUUACUGUAAGAUCCUGCUCAUCAAUGACAGGCUGAUGAAUCCUUUGAAUUGGCUAUAUUUGAAAGAAAAAAAAAUUUUGAGAGUGCUCAUCCUAAACAAUUAUCUUACUUAUGGAAAGACCAAAUUAAAGAGAGUUCAGAAAAGACUAUAAAGGCUAACUUGAGGGAAUCCCUUCACAAGCUGAAAGAACAGAAAUUAGAUUUAGAACAAAAAUCAAAGUUGACAUCCAAAAUAAAUUCCAGCAUCAUCUAUUAGCAAAUUCUCAAAAUUCCCCCAUCUUCCCCAGAAAAUCCCCUAAACACCCAGCUGUCUGUUAAUUUCCUUUCUCUACAAGAUUUACAGAUAGCCCUUCAGCCUGCUUUUUACACCCAGGGUAUUCAGGUGCCAAGUGUAAAUGCUUAAAGUCAGAAAGUGAAUUUAGUAAAAGCACCUGGGAAAGUCAGUAAGGCUUGCUUUUGCUGUCUUGUACAACUCCUGCUCUCCUAGGCUCUAAAUCUGGUUCUGCAAGCAUCAGUCCUUCCCAUGCAAUAUCCUUUACAGAUGUAUCUUUGACCCCCCACCAUCAAGAAUUUAUAUACCCUGGUUGGACAGUGACAGACCUUUUAAAUUAUAAAGCCCUUUUACCUCCAGUUUCAGAAGAUCCUACCAAAUUUAGAGGAAUUAGAAAGAUUAGUGGUCAUUCAAAAGCCCUUUCACGGAGGAGACCGAUGACCAAAGUUUCUCCCAGGCCUUCCUACAAAUUAUCAGGAAAUGGAUCAGCUAGAGGUUCAGGGUCUAAUAGAAGCCAUAAAAGAGGCUUUCUCCGCUAAGGUGAGCUGGUCUAAGGUUGAAUUAUGCGCUCAGAAAGAACGUCCAAAAGUCUUUGUUAAAUGCUUUGUAUAGACUAUUCAAAGGCAUACUGCACUAAACCAUGAGGCUCCAGAACAUAGAAAUCUUUCAUUUCUGCUUUAGUAGGAGAUUUUCUCCAAAGUAUAAAAAGACAAAUUCAAAAUAGUGUGGCUGAGUGGGCAAGUCAAACUGUUAUCAUGGUCAUGGAGGCAGCUACCCAACCGAGGAAGAUAGCUUGCAGGAACGCAAGAGAAAACAGAAGUUAAAAUAAAAAAUCCUUGAAUUGCCAACUGAAUCUUUAGAGAAACAAAAGUCCGACUCUGAGAAUAGCACAAAGUCCACUCAGACCCUUUCUUUUUUGCCUUCAGACAUCUGCACAUAUUACAAAAAAAAAAAAAAAAAAUAGGCCAUUGGAAGUACAAUUGUCCUGCACAUAAGGAAAAGAAGGAAAUUUUUAAAUAGUAUUUACUCUCGACUUCUGAUGACUCCAAAACUCUCAGAAAAAAAGAAAAGAAAAGAAAACUUACAUUCUUUCUCUAUGCAUCGAAGACAUCUAUCUUACCAUGUCUGUGAAAUAUAAACACCCCAGGAGAUAAUUAAAACAUUGCACACAAACACCUGAGACAGAAGGGGGAAAAAAGGUUUUGAAAUAUGCACACUGCUAUAAAAUCUUUCCCAAACUCUAGUCCAUAGCUACUACAGGAUUUGUCAUGGGAAAAUCCAAAUCUUAAAAGUCUUGUCCACAAAUAGUAAAAGCUUUAGUCAUCUGAGUGGGUAAUCUUAACAUAUUCCAACUGUUAUUUAUAAACUAGUGAGUUUUAUGUUGUUGGACCUGAUUCAUAGUUAAAAUUUGGGAAUGAAAGUAUAGGGUCUCUGCGUCUGUCUAUAUGUUUUAUAUGUGGGAUAUUUUUCUACCUCUGAAGGGUAUUGCCAAAAUUAAUUUCGGAAGAGUUCUGUUUAAUUGGCUUAAAGACAAUCAAGUGCUAUAUAAAUUAAGUAUGUCCUCAGAAAUAUAAAAACUAACCCAAAUGUUUUCAAGUUCACAUGAUCUAGAAUAAUUUUGUUAAAUAAAAGUUAGCUUGUUUGGUUUAUAAAAAUGGACAUAUAUUUACAGUUAUCAUCAUUAAAUAUAAUACUUUUAUUCUGCCUAGGUUCACUAAAGUUAAGUAAGUUCAUAUUAACUCUGUUGUCAAAUUUAUCAGCAAAAAAAUAACUUAAGGUGAUGACUAGCUGCUUUGAUGUCUCAUGAAGUUAGGGGUGGGAACAAGUUUUGACUGGGGGAAAUUGUUUUAAUUGAUGGGAACGAGUUUGAUCAAAAACUGUUUUGAUUGAUGGGAACAAGUUUGAUUAGUGGGAAGAUUGGUGGGAACAAGUAAAUUAAAUAAAUGUAAAUGGGAUUAAAAAUUUUAAGUGAACUUUUCAACAAUAAGUUUUUUAUGGUAUGGCUACUGAAAUAGGUUCCCAAAUCUCUAUGAUAACGUAGUUUUGCUAAGUUAAAUGCUAGAAAUUCAUUGAAUAUCUAGAUCACGUCCAGGUAAGAUAAAACACAGGUGCAUUAAUUAUGUUGAACAUGAUUUUUGCUUUUGGUUGCCUAUUACAGAGAAACAAAAGUUCAUAAUGGUAGUUUAAUCGCUAAGUCGUGUCCGACUCUUGCAACCCCAUGGACUGUAGCCCACCAGGCUCCUCUGUCCAUGGAUUUUCCAGACAAGAAUAUUGCAGUGGAUUCCAUUUCCUUCUCCAGGGGAUUUUCCCAACCCAGGAACUGAACCCGGGUCUCCUGCAUUGCAGGCAAAUUCUUUACCAACUGAGCUGGGAAGCCCAAACAAAAGAGACUUGGACUCAUUAGUAAACAUGUCUUGUUCCACAUUGAAAAAUUAUACUAUGAGAAAGUAUAUGCAUCUAGAAAUUAUGAAAUGCAUUCACAAAUGUGUUAGUGUAAAGAAUGUUUAUGUAGCACAGUUCACAGUUGCUUAUUUCUUAGUUUUCAAUAGAAAUUAAGGUUUUAAGGGAUAAGAUGUAUUAAUAAUAGUCAUGGGCUGCAAAGAGACAUAGCUGAGCGACUGACGCACAUACUAGAAAUAAUAAGGGAAGCAACUCUGUAUGCAAAGGAAAUAGGAUGUUUGGGCGUAAGAAAGGUAUGAGGUAUGGAGGUGCAUUUUUGUAAGGAUAAAAGAAAUUAAUUUGCCCAAAAGUCAAACUGGUUAUUUCUGAAUGAGAAAGAGGAAAGUAAAGGACAAACUAAGUUGAUAGAAAAACUUGGCAGGAGAGAAAGAAAGGGGGUUUUACUUCGUGUAACUCAAACUGUCUAAAAAUGUAAUAAAUUUAUUACAAUAGAUUUUAAAUAGUGUACUUAUGCUUAUGUAAAGUUAAAACUUAAUUUUCUUUCAUCUACUAAAAACUCAACGUUUUCUUGGACCACUGGUCAGCUCUUGAUAAGAUUAGAAAGGUGAUGUAUGGCAAAACCAAUACAAUAUUGUAAUUAACCUCCAAUUAAAAUAAAUAAAUUUAUAUUUUUAAAAAAUUAGAAAGGUUUUCUUUACCUUUUAAGUAAUCUGCUUGGAAAGCAAAGAUUUUAUGUCUUACUGAAAAAAUUGACUGUGCUUCACGUUGUCUUUAUCAGGUCUUUGAUUAUCUAAAACCAAGUCUUCUCCAUUAAAAGAGCUAAGGCUUUUUGACAACCAUGUAACUUUCUGUUUUUGUCUCUGUCACUUUGGUUAAAUGGGUAACAAAGUAUUGUUUCACAGUAAUCAAUGAACCCAUCUAUUUAAGUGUUUUAAAACCUUUUUAUAAGGUUUUAUAAAAAAGGUUUUUAUAAAAAAAAAAUCUUAGCAAACUUCCCACACUCCCCCUCCCCCCAAUUAAAUUCUAAAUGAAGUUUUUCUGACCUCAAACUACUGGGAUUUAUUUCCAGGAGACUCUGGAACAUCUCAAAAAAUUUUCUCUCUUGCCUUAUUAAACUACAACAACAACAAAAAAAAAUAGAGAAGGAGGGGUUAAACUAAUUUACUUUAUUUGAUAUGUUAAACUACAUGGAGGGGUUAAACUAAUCAGCUUUAUUUUAUAUGUUAAGUUACAAGGGAAACAGUAUCAAAUACGGAGUUAAUACUAAGCCUUCUUUAUGUUUUACUUGUAGAGGUGUAUAACUGUUCCAGAAAUUUUAUGAAGUUCCUAGAAAUCUGAUAUGUCCUAAUAUAAUGUCAUCACUUGUAAUUCUAGCUAUUAUCCUAAGAUGUAUGUCACGGAAAUAGCCAAACUUGCUUAUCAACAACAUCAACAACAUCAAAAUGAGAGAGAGCUCUCACCAGAUUUUUACCCAAGGUCGUGUUCAAGUCUUUUUAUUUACACAAGUUAUUGUUUUACUCUGAUAUUUUUGUAGAAGUGUUUCAUCUUCAGAGAACCUCAUGAAAAGGACAAGUACUCUAGAAUACAGAUUACUAAUAAUUUUCCUACUGGUGAAUUCAGUGAGAAUUUAUAGAACUCUAAUGGAGAAACAAAUGGCUUUGUAAAGCUGCUAAAAGAGGAUCAAGAUGAAGAAGAAUUAAUUACAUGGGGCUGCAUAAAUGAGGAUGAUUAUAAUUGUUAUGGUUUUAUUUAUUUGCAAUUUUUUGAUUAUUUUAUAUUUUGUUUUCCUAGACUUAAGGAUAUUUUUCUCUUAAUUAAUCUGAGAUUUGGGGAAAUACACCUUUGUGAAGAGAGAUGAAAAAUAUUUAUCUUUUUCUCCCGACCCAAUUUCUUCAGAAUCCAAAAACUCUUAGUGAGCAUUCUUAAUUUUAUGGCACUAUAAUUGUUUACAUAGUUGAAAAGAAUCUGAUCUCAUUAUAACAGGACACAGAUGGAAACAUUGGUUAUAUUACCAAGGCUGUGAUCAGAAAAGAAUCAGAUAUGACCAAACAGCUUUUUGGUCCCCUAGGAGGGAAGAAAGGGAAAGUCUUCCUCCCCUACAGUUUUCCUGCUUCCACCUCUUCCCAGGAAGAUUAGUGGAUUCGUCCAUCCUAUUGAGUGCCCAAUUGCUAUAUGAAGGCCUUUGAUUCUGAGGGACUUAGAUGGGCCCCAGGCUAAGCAUUCACAACUGCCCUGCUGUUUGCAUUUCCUGAAAUAGGAGGUAGGUGAACUCCAGGUUAGAUAUUUACGGCCAGCCUCCUGUUUGCUCUCUGAAAUGGAAGUAACAACUGAAACAGGAUAAGUAGGCUUUGUCUCCUGUGGACACCUUAAGAUAGCAGUCAUGGCAGGAGGAGAAUGGGGCUAAACCUUGUUUGACUAAAUGUUCAGAAGGUCAUAUAGUCCCAUCCUUGGGGCAAUAAGACAUUUCACACGUACCCUCAUUUUGGGGGGUCAAAAUGUGAUCCCACAGGUCUCUGGGCUGGAAUUGAUCUUGGGAAAAAGUUGUGCAUGCAUGGCAUGUUGGGGAGGGUCCUAGGGGUAGGUCAGGUGUGGGAAAAGAAACCAGUUAAUUGGCUAAAGGUAAACACACACCUGAAGAACUGCCCUAUAUAAGUGAUUAACUGCCUCUUUACUGUGCUCCUCUUCACUAGGGGGGGCACCCACACUCUUUCUCUCCAGGUGUCCAUCUCUGCCUUGCUUCUGUCCUAGCUAAACAAACUGUUUCUCUGUGUGCUCUCCCACUUGUUGUGCUGUGUCUCUAAUAAUAAACUUCGUACCUGCAUUUGCGGCUUUUGCCUCCGUGAGAAGUGUAUUUUUCCCUGGGGGCACAGAUCGAGGGGGAAAUAGCUUCUAGCCUCUAGCCCUUGCUGGCCUGGUGGCUAGGACUCCUGAUUCUCAUCCAGGCUGCUAAGUCACUUCAGUCGUGUCAGACCCUAUGGACUAUAGCCCUCUGUCCAUUGGAUUCUCCAAGCAAGAAUACUGGAGUGAGUUGCCAUGCCCUCCUCCAGGGAAUCUUCCCCAUCCAGGAAUCGAACCUGCGUCUCUUACGUCUCCUGCAUUGUCAGGCAGAUUCUUUAACACUAGCGCCACCUGGGAGGCCCUACUGUACGCUGUGCCUGCAGAGGAUUGCCUCAAGCGGGCACUUCACCUGUGCCUUUCGAAGCCUUUCUGCAUUCUGUGAAGCUGCCUUCUUCUAGAUGGUGUGAUGUUCGUGCCGUAGGCCAACUCCAUCCACCUCCUUCAGGGUGAGGUGGGUCCCCUGGUUAGUUGUCUCUUUACCAUGGCCACCCCGUUCCAUCACAUCAGUUCUGAGGCAGCCAAUGGCGGCUUGAGUUCUCUUUCCCCCUGCAUCUUUCUACAACACUGACUGUUCCAAAGCCUCGGAUUCACCCGAGGACCACGCAAGCAGUGCUGCUGUACCUGCCGUAGAGCAUUUCCUGCUCUGAUCUCUUCUCAAAGCUGGCGUUUAUCUAAGCAGUGUAUGGGCCAGAGCCACAUUUUCAUCUGUGGAGUGUGUUGUCUCCUGAACCUCGCAAGAAGCUACGUGAGUGGGCGGGGCUUCCUUAUGUAGUGGCAACGCAAGAUGUACCCAUAUGCCUUUUACUUGGAGGAGAUAUCCUGGCACGCUCUUUAUCGUUGGUCCCGCUAAAAACGUCACCGAAGCGGCAGGAGUCUGCAUGUUUCACAGGGUGCAGGCUGGAGUACCCACUUCCUUCAGCUUCCGUAUUCCUUCCUCUGACCCCCUGGACCAAUGAGCCGCAUCGCAGCACCGGCACCGCAGCAUGGACCUGUUGUGGAAUCCUUUCCUCCUGAGGGCAGCUCGGAAAUUUCCACUUCACUGAGUGCUGUCAUUGCUUUGCCCAAACUUCCAAGAACCACCCUGGCAGUGAAUUUGCCCCAUUCCCUGGGUCCUCGCAAACGUGUUGAAUCCCCGGUCCUGGGAAAGUUACAUUUAAGCCCCUUACCAAUCACCCUCAAAAUACAGCCCCGGGGGUACACCUCUGCUCCUGCUGGUACAUACCAGCUAAUUCUCUCAGUUCUUCUGGUGUAGGGUCUCCUUCCUUUUUUUAGAAUAUGUAUUUAUAUGGCUGCAUUGAGUAUUAGAUGCUGCACAUGGGAUCUAGUUCCCUAAACGUGGAUCAAACCCACACCACCUGCAUUGGGAGUGAAGAAAUCUUAGCCAUUGGACCACCAGGGAAUUCCCUCCUUGCAUCUUAAUCAUUCCUAACAUGUACCUGUUGCAGUGAAAAGGAUUUAAAAAAAAGAGGAAUGAGGUUUUCUUCUUUCCCAUUCUUAAGAACGAGGAAGAUAAAACAGUGAACAUUCGUUGUUUGUUUGUUUUUAACUUUAACCACUCCUAACUCUGAAUGUCUGUAACGAAGUUUGCUUUUCUGCCCUCUAACGCUGCAGGAGCUACGCUGCACACCUAUUUUCCUCUGACUCUGUGCUAUAUACAUUAUCUGUCUGGUGUUUACCCUUCCAACACCCUUCCCCUUGUAGUUAGGUAUCAGAAAGAAGGACACAGAGCCACCCAAACUGCCAGACUCAGUGACUGGGCUAUGAUGUCAGCGGGUGACUGUCUUUGAGAAAGAAGUCAAGAUCGUAACACCUUGGUUCCUCAUCACCGACUACUGACUUCGAGCCCUCAUCUUAUAGAAGCCCCUAGACUCCUCAUGGGGGAAGAGGGACACAGUUCUUGAGGCGUGAGCCUACUAUGUUCCCCUUUCUGCCAGCUGAGAAUUAAAGCCAUCUAUUUCCUCCAAACUCUGUCUCCUUAUGUUUUAUUCCACGUCGGUGGGCAGCCAGCAACAGAACCACCCAAGUGAUGCUGGGAGUGAACCUUGGUCAUCAGACAGGAGGAGGUGAGAGCAGCUACUGAGGGGAGCCUGGGUUCCUCCCUGAUGGAGAAGUUUCUGGAGCACCAUCCGGUGUGAUGGAAGUGCUCACUCUUCCCAGGAAAGGAUAGGACACCUCUCCAAACCUAAAUGGGGACGGAGGUAGUCCUGCAGACUCAGCACACUCAGGGAGAUCUACCUACGUGUUCUCCUCCCAGGUUUCAGGGUUCCAGGGUUUUCCCCGACUCUGAUCUUGGUAUCGCAGAUCUAUCUCAGCUGAGUAUGCGAAUAUCUAGGUAUCUCUGCAAUUUUAUUUCAUCUUUGGGGGACUUCCCUGGUGGCCCAGUAGUCUAGAAUCUGCCUGUCAAUGCAGGGAAUGUGGGGUCAAUCCCUGGACGGAGAACGAACAUUCCACAUGCCACAGGGCCACUAAGCUCGCCCUGCAGUGAAGCUCUCGUGUGCCCCAACUGAGACCUGCCACGGCCAAAUAAAUAAAUAAAAACUAAGCCCUGUGGACACGCACAAUAAGCUUUAAAUUUUUUUUAUUUGU